GGCAAAACAGGAGGCUUCAGUCUUCCAACAGGAAAGAAAAUGCUUUGCUUUUGCCAGCUGUUGUUGUUUUCCUUACUCUGUUGUUUCCUCCCAGUGUGCUGUGACUUCUUUGUUCUCUGGAGAAAACAAACUUUGUGGGGAGAGCAGCCUUUAUUAAUGAAAGCAAACAGCCGCUGCUUUGUUAUUGUCUGUAUGAUGCCCUGAUAAUGUUUUGCAAACAUAAUUCCUGCUAUGCUGGAAGGAGUCUCAUGACUGGACGUUGGGAGAGCAGCGAUGGCUUGUGGAGGUUAUUGGGCUUAUGGUAGUUUGGAUAUAUGUGCUGCAUUUCAUUGUGCAACGAUCGAAAGCAGAACUCCAGGAGAUCAAGAAGGCAACUAAAUAACGUGUUUUCAAAGGGACGUAAACUGAAAAAGCAAGUGCCAUUGCCAGCUGUAAACAUUGCCUUCUCCUCUCUUUGGCUGAAAAAAGUAGUACCUCUAAUGACUAAACAAACAAGAUUUUUACCAUCAUUACUGGGAGGGGUGUGAAACAAAGGAAACCUGCACAGCUGAGCAGGCCCCAUGUUGGCACAGCACAGUGUACAGUUGGAUUACCACAGAGGAGUCAGUCAGGUUUGCUUAGGGAAGCCAAUGGAAGCCCUCCUUCGCCCUGAGGCCUUGACCUCUUGGUAAAGUGUGCAAUGACUUGAAUUUUGUAGGACAUGUUAUACUUGGGUUGCUUUGAUUCAGAGCCUGAGUUCCCCAUACACAUCUAUUUCUGUGGGGAGGCAAAGGGAGAAGAAGAUGACAACUUAUCUGCUAAUUUGGACCAUGCUGUUCAGGUAUGAGCUUUGUCUUGGGCUUUAUUUUCCUUGCUUUUUCCAUGUGAAGGCUGUACUUUUCAGGCAACUUAAUGCUUCUGAGAAAUCCCACUUCAAACCUGCUUCUCCAGUCACUGCAGAUGGAGGAGUUAGAGCCUACCUUAACAAACUUAAUUUGGAUGUAUGCUUAGUGUUAUAUUUUAGUCUUGACAUGUGACUUGCUAUCCUGAGGAAAAAUGUGAAGUAUUAUAUGCACAUCCAGACACGUACUUAAAACUAAGACAUUUAUUACAUGCUAAUUCUACCCAUAACCAGUGCUGGCAGAGAGGACACCUCUCCUUUGCAGUAUCACCAAACACCUGCAUGAUGUCCUGGAACUUCCUCACUCCCAGCCACAUGCUUGAAGGAGCCUCCCUCUGGUAACAGCUAUUGCUGUGCUGGAUGUGUGCUCAUCGUAGCAAUGUAAAUGUGUCCAAAAUUCAAAACCCCAGGUGUGCAAGGGAUUUCACUGUAGAGGACUUUAUGAAAGGAGUUGUGGGUUUGUCAUUUUUGGUGGUUUUUUGUUGUUGUUUUUUUUUUUGUUUUGUUUUGAGAUUUAAUCAACAUCCACACCUACUUCUUUCCUUAAGAGAUCAUUACAAGCCUCUGAAAAAGGAGUCUUAUCAAAUGAAUGCGGAUGGUUGGCUUCUGUCCUCACCGCUGUUGUUGCUGGCAGGCAUGCUGAGAUGAUGCAGUACUUUUAAAGGAUGCCAAAUAUAUCCUCACUGGCACGGAGGGGAAGUUUCCACAAAAUCAUACAAGAGAAAACACUGAGUGCAGAGAUCUGUUCUGCUGUGUCUGUGCAAUGUUCUUCCAAAUGGCUUAAUCGUGUGCGAAAAUAAAUAGUGCUUUUUUUAACACCUAUCAGCUAGGAAAACAGGGUGAUGGCUGAAUUUAGAAGUAUGAGGUACAGGAAAAUUUCCCAUGACCAAAAGUGGUCUAUGGCAGUCUGUCAACUUUUGCUGUAUUACUAUUGUCAUCUCUGAUUUUUGGUGUU